rnacentral:lncRNA from 1 species
UGCCGAUUUUGGAAACAUUUCAAACUACCAUUCUAUUGACAAACCCCAAAACGGCCAGUUUAGCAUUUAUUUGCCAAGUGAAUACCAAUUGAGAGAGCUUAUCUCAGUCAUGAGUAGCGAAUGGUUGGAGGAGUCAGAGCUUUCCUCUGAUGUGAUCCGUUUGGACACACCCUCUAUAACUAUACGCUGUGCUUAUAAUUCUGAUCGAUUUAAUGCUCUUUAUAAUCCUGUUGUG